rnacentral:tRNA from 1 species
GGGUCCGUGGCGCAGCUUGGACAAUAAAGCCUUGGGGCUUGAUCCAAAGAGCGCGUCGGCCUUCUAAGCCGGAGAUCCCGGGUUCAAAUCCCGGCGGACCCGCCA